UACGUAAGGGGCAAGCGUUGUCCGGAAUCAUUGGGCGUAAAGAGCGCGUAGGCGGCCCAGUCAGUCCGCUCUGAAAGUCAGGGGCUCAACCCCUGAAUGCGGGUGGAUACUGCUGGGCUAGAGUCCGGAAGAGGCGAGUGGAAUUCCUGGUGUAGCGGUGAAAUGCGCAGAUAUCAGGAGGAACACCGAUGGCGAAGGCAGCUCGCUGGGACGGUACUGACGCUGAGGCGCGAAAGCGUGGGGAGCAAACAGG
rnacentral:rRNA from 1 species